GAGAGAAGCUCGACAGCAACGGUAACUGCUAACUAUCAUCCCCAUGGUUAGACCCCAUGGUUCACUCG